AUGGAGCCCACGAGAGACUAUACGCUGUUCGGGGGUGCCUUGUCCACCAUCAUGCCCCCCGGGGUCAUUGAUGUAAGUGAGCUCUGACCAGUCCCGGACAAUCAAGAAGUUUUCUGCCAUCCCGUGACGGACCAGAGCCUGAUCAUGGAACUUCUGGAGCUGCAGGCCCACAUGCGGGGUGAAGUGACUGCAUGGUAACACUUUGAGGACGUUGGCGGGGUGCAAGGGGAUAGGGUUGUCCAAGUGGAGUCUGUGCAGCCUCUCAGUUUGGAGAACCUGGCCCUGAGAGGCUGCUGUCAAGAAGCCUGGGUCCUCUCUGGCAAGCAGCAGGUAGCUAAGGAAAACCAGCAGAUAGCAAAGGAUGUGACACCGCACCAGGCCUUGCUGCGACUGACCCAGUACCAGACAGAUCUCUUGCUCACCUUCAAUCAGCCCUGCCCUGACAACAGGUCAUCUGUUGGCUCUGAAAAUCUGUCACCUCCACCCUGGAGCCUGGGUGACUUUGAACAACUGGUGACCAGUCUGGCCCUUCAUGAUCCCAACAUCUUUGGUCCCCAGUAAAGGUGGUGAAGCACUGCGUGGUGCUGCUGAGAACUUGGGGACCCAGUUCCAUGAGGAGAAGAAGAGAUUGAAUAUCCAGGUUUCUGCUUAUUUCCUCUCCAUGCAUAAACAUAAGAC